AUUGAACGCUGGCGGCAGGCCUAACACAUGCAAGUCGAACGGUAACAGGAAACAGCUUGCUGUUUCGCUGACGAGUGGCGGACGGGUGAGUAAUGUCUGGGAAACUGCCUGAUGGAGGGGGAUAACUACUGGAAACGGUAGCUAAUACCGCAUAACGUCGCAAGACCAAAGAGGGGGACCUUCGGGCCCCUUGCCAUCGGAUGUGCCCAGAUGGGAUUAGCUAGUAGGUGGGGUAACGGCUCACCUAGGCGACGAUCCCUAGCUGGUCUGAGAGGAUGACCAGCCACACUGGAACUGAGACACGGUCCAGACUCCUACGGGAGGCAGCAGUGGGGAAUAUUGCACAAUGGGCGCAAGCCUGAUGCAGCCAUGCCGCGUGUAUGAAGAAGGCCUUCGGGUUGUAAAGUACUUUCAGCGGGGAUGAAGGGAGUAAAGUUAAUACCUUUGCUCAUUGACGUUACCCGCAGAAGAAGCACCGGCUAACUCCGUG
rnacentral:rRNA from 1 species